rnacentral:rRNA from 1 species
AGUGAACGCUGGCGGUAGGCCUAACACAUGCAAGUCGAACGGCAGCACGGUAAGAGCUUGCUCUUAUGGGUGGCGAGUGGCGGACGGGUGAGGAAUACAACGGAAUCUACUUUUUCGUGGGGGAUAACGUAGGUAAACCUACUCUAAUACCGCAUACGACCUACGGGUGUAAGCAGUGGAUCUUCGCACCUUGUGCGGUUGAAUGAGCGGAUGUUGGAUUAGCUAGUUGGCGGGGUAAAGGCCCACCCUGGCGACGAUCCGCAGCUUGUCUGAGAGGAUGAUCGGCCACACUGGAGGUGGGACGCGGACCGUAGGACUACGGGAGGGCGCAGUGGGCAAUGUGGGGCAGUAGGGGCAAACCUGAUACAGCCAUACCGCGUGGGUGAAAGAGACGUUCGGGUUGUAAAGCCGUUUUGUUGGGAGAGAACCGCAGCAGGUUGAGACGACGCUUUUGUGACGGUACCCGGUAAAUAAGCACCGGCUAACUUCGUG